ACAGUCCUUCGGGUCUGUGGUGAGUGGCGAACGGGUGAGUAACACGUGAGCAACCUACCCUUGACACUGGAAUAACAGUUGGAAACAGCUGCUAAUACCGGAUACGACCUUCGAUGGCAUCAUCUGGAGGUGGAAAGCUCCGACGGUCAAGGAUGGGCUCGCGGCCUAUCAGCUUGUUGGUGAGGUAACGGCUCACCAAGGCUUCGACGGGUAGCCGGCCUGAGAGGGCGACCGGCCACACUGGGACUGAGAUACGGCCCAGACUCCUACGGGAGGCAGCAGUGGGGAAUAUUGCACAAUGGGCGAAAGCCUGAUGCAGCAACGCCGCGUGCGGGAUGACGGCCUUCGGG
rnacentral:rRNA from 1 species